rnacentral:rRNA from 1 species
UACAGAGGGUGCGAGCGUUAAUUGGAAUUACUGGGCGUAAAGGGCGCGUAGGCGGUUAAUUAAGUUAGAUGUGAAAUCCCUGGGCUUAACCUAGGAACUGCAUUUAAUACUGGUUGACUGGAGUGCUGUAGAGGGUAGUGGAAUUUCCGGUGUAGCGGUGAAAUGCGUAGAUAUCGGAAGGAACACCAGUGGCGAAGGCGGCUACCUGGACAGACACUGACGCUGAGGCGCGAGAGCGUGGGGAGCAAACAGG